CGUAUUGGUCAUGAAUAAAAAAGGAGCCGGAAAACAGAAAUCCGGAUAUAUUAAAAACGAAACGGACAGCUUCUUUAUUAAAAAAAAAACAACUUCCACCUGCUUUAUGACAUGAUUUGGACUUCAACAUUUUUGUGUUAUUGAAGAUAUCGGAGAUUUUUUAGCUAUUUAUGAAUGAUGUCAGUUCAGGGUGAGUAACACAAAUUAAUUCCAUCAAGUACAGUAUGUCACGCUCGCAUAACUAGAUUAGUAAACAUGGUAAGUAUUUUUGUGGUGUUUCUAUGUGGUAUGUAUGUAGGGUUUGUAUUUAGUGGUGCGCUACCUAUAAGUCGGACCUCUCUGUCAGGUAAGUAUUUUCGAUAAAGCGCGAGAGAUACGAGAUGACGGACGAUCGGUAAGGCACGCUCUGGACGGAGGAUCGUUCGAGGUAUUGGAGACAUUGUUAUAUUUGUCUCAUAUGAGUGAAAGCACAGAAAGCUGACUGUGCUUUCUACCGUGGAUUAUUAAUGGAACUGGGUGAGAUGGACCAGCCAACACAGUAACAGUUUUGAUCAUGACAGGGUCAUCUACAUGUGAUAGUCAGUGGCGGUAUAACCCAGCCUUGUUUCCCGGUGAUACAGUUGACUCAUAUAAGUCAGUGGUCAACAGUUCGACCUACAUGUAUACCUGUGUGGUUUCCAUGUGGCAGUGAUGAUGAUUCCGAUAUCGGCUGAUUGUUAUGUUAACACUGAAGUGUUAUGAGAUACUGAAGUAUCUACAUCUACGCUCAUAGCUGGCCACUCAUGUGACGUGAUAGGACAGUGGACCAGAGGAGUUGAUUGGAAAGGAAGAGGACAGAACUUUUAAAAAGACUGUAUAUAUCCUUAUGUGUAGUGUGAGUGUGUGUGCAUUUUGUAUAUAUAAUAGCCUUAUAAAUACUGUAAAUAAAUAUGUAUAUACCGUA